rnacentral:rRNA from 1 species
AACGAACGCUGGCGGCAGGCUUAACACAUGCAAGUCGAGCGCCCCGCAAGGGGAGCGGCAGACGGGUGAGUAACGCGUGGGAAUCUACCUUUUGCUACGGAAUAACGCAUGGAAACGUGUGCUAAUACCGUAUGUGCCCUUUGGGGGAAAGAUUUAUCGGCAAAGGAUGAGCCCGCGUUGGAUUAGCUAGUUGGUGGGGU